rnacentral:sRNA from 1 species
ACUGGACGAAAGGGACCAAAAGGCCAUUCUUCAUAUACCUCAGCUCCGAGAAUAGAAGUGGUUGUGGAUUCGAACCA